AAACAACAAAAAAAAUAAUAUUCAGUUGCAUUGUCUUAAAUUUCCACCUGUGGUUCCGUCCUUCAGUUCUGAGCUAAAACCAUCAUCCAGGGUCGUUUUGGUCUUCGGCGCUGGGUGCACACAGGGAACGGCGCCUGGACAGUUAGAAGCAGAUAGAAGCACGGCGGCGUGUGCCAGCUGACGUCAGGGAAUGAUGAAACCGCUGCCCAGUCGAGUUACGCGACUGAUAUGGCAUCUUCAAAGGGAAAUUGAUGCAGAAAGCUUCCGCUGGCUGAGUUCAGGAAGCGGUGAGCUGCCCAGGGACCAUUACUACGCACUCAAACAGGAAGAGAGCCAGAUUGUGGGGGCUGAAAUGACAUCUGCUAAAUCCAUCAAAUAAAAGGAGCCAUUUCACAAAAAGUGCAGUAUCCAGUGUUCAGAAAAUGAAUUUAAAUCAGCUGAUUGGGUUCAUGUGAAGAAAAAAAAAAAAAAAAA